rnacentral:rRNA from 1 species
UACGGGGGGGGCAAGCGUUGUCCGGAAUUAUUGGGCGUAAAGAGCUCGUAGGCGGUCUGUUGCGUCCGCUGUGAAAACUCGGGGCUUAACCCCGAGCCUGCAGUGGAUACGGGCAGACUAGAGGUAGGUAGGGGAGAAUGGAAUUCCCGGUGUAGCGGUGAAAUGCGCAGAUAUCGGGAGGAACACCGGUGGCGAAGGCGGUUCUCUGGGCCUUACCUGACGCUGAGGAGCGAAAGCCAGGGGAGCAAACGGG